GGAGGGCAAGUCUGGUGCCAGCAGCCGCGGUAAUUCCAGCUCCACUAGCGUAAAAUAUUACUGCUGCGGUUAAAAAGCUCGUAGUUGAAUCUAGUCGUGUCCGUUGGGUUUGUCGUUGGCGUUUAUUCGUCUUUGGCGUUAAUUCACGGCCGAUUUUUGCUGGUUUGCUGUUGGUCUUCGGAUCUUCGGUGGCUAGCGAGUUACUUUGAUCAAAUCAGAGUGCUCAAAACAGGCGAAAGCUUGUAUGAUUUCUCGAGGAAUAACAGAAGAGGACUUCGGUUCUAUUUGUUGGUUCCAGAAUCGUUUAAUGGUUAAGAGGGACAAUUCGGGGGCAAACGUAUCCUCGCGCGAGGGGUGAAAUCCGUAGACCGUGAGGAGACGACCAAUAGCGAAAGCAUUUGCCAAGAAUGUCUCCAUUAAUCAAGAACGAAAGUCAGAGGUUCGAAGGCGAUUAGAUACCGCCCUAGUUCUGACCGUAAA
rnacentral:rRNA from 1 species